CACGUAGGGGCCAAGCGUUGUCCGGAUUUAUUGGGCGUAAAGAGCUCGUAGGCGGUUCAGUCAGUCGGGUGUGAAAACUCCGGGCUUAACUCGGAGAGGCCACCCGAUACUGCUGUGACUUGAGUCCGGUAGGGGAGUGGGGAAUUCCUGGUGUAGCGGUGAAAUGCGCAGAUAUCAGGAGGAACACCGGUGGCGAAGGCGCCACUCUGGGCCGGAACUGACGCUGAGGAGCGAAAGCGUGGGGAGCAAACAGG
rnacentral:rRNA from 1 species